AUUGAACGCUGGCGGCAGGCCUAAUACAUGCAAGUCGAGCGAGCGACGGACGGGUGAGUAAUGUCUGGGAAAAUGCCUGAUGGAGGGGGAUACCAACUGGAAACGGUAGCUAAUACCGCAUACCAUCAGAUGUGCCCAGAUGGGGUUAGCUAGUAGGUGGGGGAUCGGCUCACCUAGGCGACGAUCCCUAGCUGGUCUGAGAGGAUGACCAGCCACACGGGAACUGAGACCCGGUCCAGACUCCUACGGGAGGCAGCAGUGGGGAAGAUUGCCCACUGGGCGAAAGCCUGAUGCAGCCAUGCCGCGUGUGUGAAGAAGGCCUUCGGGUUGUAAAGCACUUUCAGCGGGGAGGCGUUACCCGCAGAAGAAGCACCGGCUAACUCCGUGCCAGCAGCCGCGGUAAUAC
rnacentral:rRNA from 1 species